GAUUAAGUGGCUGAAAUUUUAGGCGUUAGAUUGUAAAUCUAUUUAUGAAAGAGUUUUCCUUAAUUA
rnacentral:tRNA from 1 species